UUAUGUUUUUCAGAACGAAUUGUGUUGGUGUUAUGUUAUUUUACUGCUUUGGGUUUGCGCACUUUAUGAAUUGGUUUAUUGUUUUGUUUUGAUAACUUGUGGAUGUGGAUCUAAGUGGAUUACAAUGGCGGUUUUCCAGAUUGGAUUGACACUUGUGGAAGAUACCUUGGGGAGUGAGAAUUUUAAUUGGAUAACCUUUUGAAAAGGAUAUCGAUGCAUUGGGAUAAACGCAUACAAAUUGGAUGUUAAUACAUACAAAACGACAUAAAAUAUAUG